AUCAAAAAAUAUAAUUAUACAUUCUAUACUAAUCCUUAUAUAAUGUUUUAUGCACAAAAUAACCCACUAUGAUUCUCCUAAAUUCCCCAAACUUUACCAAAUUCAUCCUCCCACAAUUCCCUCAACCUAAUGAAGAAGAAAAAGUGAUAGGAUUCCUUUAAAGUCUUCAAUUCUCCAUUCUUCUUGGGUAUAAAGGAACAAGGUACAUGGAUAUUCACCCAUGGAUUCUUUUCCUCCAUUGGGUCCCCAAGUUGUACGAUCCCUUCCUUCCAUUUCAAUUGAUUCAAGGUCCGGCGAUCCAACCUAGAAAACACAUGGACAAACAUCUUUUGGGGGUGAUUCAAGUGGAUUAGUGAGUCUUCACGUUACGAGGACAAAGAGAUUUCAUAUUCGUAUGCCAUUUCUAGUUUCAGACUUCAUAUGUGAUCUAUGGGUUAUGGCCUAGUAAUUUUCAUAUAAUGUGUUAGAUGACUUUUAGACUUAUGUUAUACAUUCGCUUUGACAA